UACAUCGGAACGUACCCAAUCGUGGGGGAUAACUAUCCGAAAGGAUAGCUAAUACCGCAUAAGUCCUGAGGGAGAAAGCAGGGGAUCGCAAGACCUUGCGCGGAUGGAGCGGCCGAUGUCGGAUUAGCUGGUUGGUAGGGUAAAGGCCUACCAAGGCGACGAUCCGUAGCUGGUCUGAGAGGACGACCAGCCACACUGGAACUGAGACACGGUCCAGACUCCUACGGGAGGCAGUAGUGGGGAAUUUUGGACAAUGGGGGCAACCCUGAUCCAGCCAUUCCGCGUGAGUGAAGAAGGCCUUCGGGUUGUAAAGCUCUUUCGGCAGGGAAGAAACGGUGCGGGCUAAUACCCUGCAUUAAUGACGGUACCUGAAGAAGAAGCACCGGCUAACUACGUG
rnacentral:rRNA from 1 species